UUUCACUUACCGUUCGCUGUUCGUGCGAGUCGAGCGGACAGAUGGGAGCUUGCUCCCUGAUGUUAGCGGCGGACGGGUGAGUAACACGUGGGUAACCUGCCUGUAAGACUGGGAUAACUCCGGGAAACCGGGGCUAAUACCGGAUGCUUGAUUGAACCGCAUGGUUCAAUUAUAAAAGGUGGCUUUUAGCUACCACUUACAGAUGGACCCGCGGCGCAUUAGCUAGUUGGUGAGGUAACGGCUCACCAAGGCAACGAUGCGUAGCCGACCUGAGAGGGUGAUCGGCCACACUGGGACUGAGACACGGCCCAGACUCCUACGGGAGGCAGCAGUAGGGAAUCUUCCGCAAUGGACGAAAGUCUGACGGAGCAACGCCGCGUGAGUGAUGAAGGUUUUCGGAUCGUAAAACUCUGUUGUUAGGGAAGAACAAGUACCGUUCGAAUAGGGCGGUACCUUGACGGUACCUAACCAGAAAGCCACGGCUAACUACGUGCCAGCAGCCGCGGUAAUACGUAGGUGGCAAGCGUUGUCCGGAAUUAUUGGGCGUAAAGCGCGCGCAGGCGGUUUCUUAAGUCUGAUGUGAAAGCCCCCGGCUCAACCGGGGAGGGUCAUUGGAAACUGGGGGAACUUGAGUGCAGAAGAGGAGAGUGGAAAUUCCACGUGUAGCGUGAAAUGCGUAGAGAUGUGGAGGAACACCAGUGGCGAAGGCGACUCUCUGGUCUGUAACUGACGCUGAGGCGCGAAAGCGUGGGGAGCGAACAGGAUUAGAUACCUUGGUAGUCCACGCCGUAAACGAUGAGUGCUAAGUGUUAGAGGGUUUCCGCCUUUUAGUGCUGCAGCAAACGCAUUAAGCACUCCCGCCUGGGGAGUACGGUCGCAAGACUGAAACUCAAAGGAAUU
rnacentral:rRNA from 1 species